rnacentral:misc_RNA from 1 species
GAUGAAGAACGUAGCGAAAUGCGAUAAGUAAUGCGAAUUGCAGAAUUCAGUGAAUCAUCGAAUCUUUGAACGCACAUUGCGCCCGCCAGUAUUCUGGCGGGCAUGCCUGUUCGAGCGUCAUUUCAACCCUCGAGCCCCCCCGGGGGCCUCGGUGUUGGGGGACGGCACACCAGCCGCCCCCGAAAUGCAGUGGCGACCCCGCCGCAGCCUCCCCUGCGUAGUAGCACACACCUCGCACCGGAGCGCGGAGGCGGUCACGCCGUAAAACGCCCAACUUUCUUAGAGUUGACCUCGGAUCAGGUAGGAAUACCCGCUGAACUUAAGCAUAUCAAUAAGCGGAGGA